rnacentral:rRNA from 1 species
GACGAACGCUGGCGGCGUGCUUAACACAUGCAAGUCGAACGAAGAGCGAUGGAAGCUUGCUUCUAUCAAUCUUAGUGGCGAACGGGUGAGUAACGCGUAAUCAACCUGCCCUUCAGAGGGGGACAACAGUUGGAAACGACUGCUAAUACCGCAUACGAUCUAAUCUCGGCAUCGAGGAUAGAUGAAAGGUGGCCUCUACAUGUAAGCUAUCACUGAAGGAGGGGAUUGCGUCUGAUUAGCUAGUUGGAGGGGUAACGGCCCACCAAGGCGAUGAUCAGUAGCCGGUCUGAGAGGAUGAACGGCCACAUUGGGACUGAGACACGGCCCAGACUCCUACGGGAGGCAGCAGUGGGGAAUCUUCCGCAAUGGACGAAAGUCUGACGGAGCAACGCCGCGUGAGUGAUGACGGCCUUCGGGUUGUAAAGCUCUGUUAAUCGGGACGAAAGGCCUUCUUACGAAUAGUGAGAAGGAUUGACGGUACCGGAAUAGAAAGCCACGGCUAACUACGUG